rnacentral:lncRNA from 1 species
GGUUUGAGAUUAGGUGGGUGAAGUGUCAUGGAUGACAGGGUUGUGGUUGUAGAUGUUUUGGUUUGCUUAAGCUUUGUUUUGCGUGGACGAUAUGAUUAUGGUUGUGGUAGGUGCUACUUUGAAGCCAGGGGUUAUGUGGGUGAAGUGUCAUGGAUGAAGUGUCAUGGAUGACAAGGUUGUGGUUGGAUGACAGGGUUAUGGUUGAAGGACAUGGUUGUGGUUGGAUGAUUGUGGUUGAGGCAAAGGGUUUGAGAUUAGGUGGGUGAAGUGUCAUGGAUGACAGAGUUGUGGUUGUAGAUGUUUUGGUUUGCUUAAGCUUUGUUUUUGCGUGGACGACAUGAUUAUGCUUGUGGUAGGUGCUACUUUGAGGUCAGGGGUGCUACUUUGAGGCCAGGGGUUUGAGAUUAGGUGGGUGAAGUGUCAUGGAUGAUAGGGUUGUGGUUGUAGAUGUUUUGGUUUGCUUAAGCUUUGUUUUGCGUGGACGACAUGAUUAUGGUUUUGGUUGUGGUAGGUGGGUGAAGUGUCAUGGAUGAUAGGGUUGUGGUUGUAGAUGUUUUGGUUUGCUUAAGCUUUGUUUUGCGUGGACGACAUGAUUAUGGUUUUGGUUGUGGUAGGUGGGUGAAGUGUCAUGGAUGAUAGGGUUGUGGUUGUAGAUGUUUUGGUUUGCUUAAGCUUUGUUUUGCGUGGACGACAUGAUUAUGGUUUUGGUUGUGGUAGGUGGGUGAAGUGUCAUGGAUGACAGGGCUGUGGUUGUAGAUGGUUUGCUUAAGCUUUGUUUUGCGUGGACGACAUGAUUUGGUUGUGGUAGGUGCUAGUCAUUUGAAUGUAGGGGCUACUUUGAGGCCAAUGUUAGGAUGGACGUGGUUAGCAUAACAAUAUUGUGGGUUGUGUUUUGUUGUGGACCUGUUUGUUUAGGGUGUGUAUGUCGUGAAAGUGUUGUUGUGGUUAAGUGGGUGUGGUUAGUGUGACAUGUAUGAAACGCUCGCACCGCAAGUAUGAAGCUUUUCUGGGCUGAGAAACGUAAAAAUCUCAAGAACUUCUGAGACGAUGAUAUGGUGAAACAGAGAUGCAAAUCCGGAGAGGAGAGACAGGAAUUCAAAGAGACAAGGGUUUGGGGAGGUUUGAUUUGGACCGGAACGCUAAAGAACUUCUGGGGCGACAAGCAGAAGGCGAAACGAUGAUAUGGUGAAACAGAGAGGGGGAUUCGGAGAGGAGAAUCAGAAAAUCGAAGAGAGAAGGGUUGGGGGAGGUCUGAUUUGAAUUCAAUUUCAGAUCAUCUUUCUGGAUCGAGGAGAAGACGCCGGAGCAUGAGGUUAGGGUUCAUCUAGGGUUGAAGAAGAUAAAUCAAAAAUGUGAAAAGGGAAAAAGUAAAAGUAGUUGUGGGUUGUAAAAAGUAAAAGAAAAGGAAGCAAGAUGUUUUUGGUUAACUAGAUUGGUCUGGUUGGAUUGGGUGGGUUUUACAAACUAAAUAAACAUGUCUUUAGUUGAGGGUUAUAUUAGUAAAGAGAGCAUGAGAAAGUGUGUUGUAGCACAAUGUGUCUUUGAGUGAAAUUGAUAACACAAAAUGUGUCUCUGAGGGUAAAAAUUUCUUG